rnacentral:lncRNA from 1 species
GUGGAAACUUUCCCUGUCGACCGACUGAAUCAAAGAGGAGUACCUAGAAUGCAGCUUCAUAACAUAUCUCUUGGCCUUCUUCGAAUCUGUAUCUAGAGCUUGCCCUGAGAAAGGCAAUAGCUCCAAGAAUUUAUCCGUGAACUCCUCUACACUCAUGUGCUCUGUCUGCCUCAGUUGUUCAAACUCAAUCAUUUUCAGUUCUCUGGAACUGUCUGGAAAAGCC